rnacentral:rRNA from 1 species
UCGCCUGUUUAUCAAAAACAUCUCUCCUCGAAUAAUGAAAUGAGGGGUAGGCCCUGCCCAGUGGAAUAUAUUUCUAAACGGAAAGGUUAACUUUUAAAGUAGCGUAAUAAUUUGUCCCUUAAUUAGGGUCUGUAUGAACGGGUUGACGUGGAAAAACUGUCUUGAGGAAAUAGUUUGAAAUUUUCUUUUUAGUGAAAAGCCUGAAAUAGUAUUAAAAGACGAGAAGACCCCGUCGAGCUUGGAGAAGGGAAGGGAUUUUACAUCUUUUUUUUUAGGUUGGUUGGGGUAACAUAGGAGAAAGUAAACCUCCAAGGGAUAUUAGCGUAGAUCCAUGAUUUAAUGAUAAUAGGAAAAAGUUACCGCGGGGAUAACAGCGCAAGACGGCCAGAGAGUUCAUAUCUAAGGCUGUAAGUGCGACCUCGAUGUUGGAUUAAGGGAGGCUGGGUGGUGCAGGAGCUACCAUAAGCGGGACUGUUCGUCCUUUAAUUCCUUACAUGAUCUGAGUUC